rnacentral:rRNA from 1 species
AAUACGUAGGGUGCGAGCGUUAAUCGGAAUUACUGGGCGUAAAGUGUGCGCAGGUGGCCGCGCAAGUCGAGUGUGAAAGCCCCGGGCUUAACUUGGGAAUUGCGCUCGAAACUACGUGGCUAGAGUGUGGCAGAGGAAGGUGGAAUUCCACGUGUAGCGGUGAAAUGCGUAGAGAUGUGGAGGAACACCAAUGGCGAAGGCAGCCUUCUGGGCCAACACUGACGCUCAUGCACGAAAGCGUGGGGAGCAAACAGGA